rnacentral:rRNA from 1 species
AUUGAACGCUGGCGGCAUGCUUUACACAUGCAAGUCGAACGGUAACAGGCCGCAAGGUGCUGACGAGUGGCGAACGGGUGAGUAAUGCAUCGGAACGUGCCCAGUCGUGGGGGAUAACGCAGCGAAAGCUGCGCUAAUACCGCAUACGAUCUAUGGAGGAAAGCGGGGGACCGUAACGCCUCGCGCGAUUGGAGCGGCCGAUGUCAGAUUAGGUAGUGGGUGGGGUAAAGGCUCACCAAGCCGACGAUCUGUAGCUGGUCUGAGAGGACGACCAGCCACACUGGGACUGAGACACGGCCCAGACUCCUACGGGAGGCAGCAGUGGGGAAUUUUGGACAAUGGGCGCAAGCCUGAUCCAGCAAUGCCGCGUGCAGGAAGAAGGCCUUCGGGUUGUAAACUGCUUUUGUACGGAACGAAAAGGCUCUGGUUAAUACCUGGGGCUCAUGACGGUACCGUAAGAAUAAGCACCGGCUAACUACGUGCCAGCCGCCGCAGUAAAAC